CGAGUACCAAGCUGCAGUACCGUUCGACUUCCAAACAGAUCAAAGAUAUAUGCACAGAUUUUUUUACUUUUCUCCCGUUGCGUAUGGGCCAGUCCAGUAUUAAUAGUAAUAUGAUGACUAACACAAGUAUGGAGUCCAGCGCGAUGCCUCCGUAUGAGCGGCUCUUAGCUGAUGCCAACCAAAUGAGUUAUCAGAACACCGUCGCUGUCUACCGCGAUGACGGAGCAUGGUGGUUGGGUAACAUUCAAGACCUGGAAGGAGACCUCGUGUUUAUCAGUUUUAGUUCGAAAAAGGCUGCGGCCGGCUGGAUCCAUGCGAGACACGUAUGGCCGGUGCCAUUCCUUAUCGAUAGUCACCACUGGGCAGAUAAUCAGUGGAAAAACAUGCCAGUGUAUGUCGCACUGCGUGACGAAGACGACGGCCCGUUCAGGUUUCGACCCGCAACUCUGUUGGGCUCUGUAUGGGGCGGAGACUGGCUGAUGUUCUUCGUCACAACGGCAACUCCUGAAACAAACAGCGACUCUGCGCACAGAUCGACUCGCACGGAACUGGUAGACGAGUGUCAAGUCAUCCGGAAGAUGCCGGUCGACGAACCACCAUUGCAGUACCGAAACGACGGUUUAGCCUACAGCAAGCACUUCAUUCCCUGUGUCAGGGCCCAAGAAGUUCUGAGUGACACCUCUAAUAAAUAUCGGAUUAUCGGAUAUUUUCGCAACGCCUUUGAUUGCCAUUCGGCGCCAGGAAAGCACUCGGAGCCAUGCCGAUUUCAUUUACGAAUCGAAGAGGAUGGUUGCACGUUCAUUACCAUAAACGCUUUCGCCAAUGACCCGGAGACGGCGGCGACGGCCACAACGGCUGUAACACUGUCGCGAUUACUUGAGACACAUCUAGCAAACCGUGCGGAUCUACCAGUGGCCGCUUUCUCAAAUAGUGAAGGUGGUCUGCAUGAAAAAUAUGUGGAAUUUGACUCGUGGAACUCGGAUGCACAUGUUUGUUAUCUGCCGCAUCCACUAUUGAAUGAGAUCUUUUCUCACUUAGAUCUGCAUGCACGCAUGAGGAUCCAGCGAGUAUGUGCACUGUGGCGGAUCCUGCUGACCCGCAAAAUUAGUCACUUCAGUGUAUCCCUGGAAAGCUGCAUAGAAACCCUGUUCGACAAGUGCAACUGGUACAAAAUCGCAUUACUUCUCAGCCGUACAUUCGACUCAAGAACCCAAAGCGUCGUUAUACUGAACUGCAUCCCGGGAUAUCAUGACUUAUUUUUAACUGACUUGCUAACCGUCAUGGGAAUCAAAUUACCUUUACUUGUGUUGAAAAACAGCGUCAUUACCCAAUGCGCAAGUGUUCCCUACUUGCCAGACAAAUUGCGCAGAAAGCACGGUGCAACAUUCCAGAUAGGUCUACUGAGAAACAUUUGUGAACGCAUCCUGCUGUACAACUGUACAGUGGCUAAAGUUUUCGGCCCACCCAUGUAUGACGUUUUCGUAUCGAACGGAAUGGGCUUUGUGCCUCUGCCGGCACACGAACGGGAGGCAAUGCGCUUCGUGGCGCAGACAUAUGACUACAUGUUGGAUAUUGACGGACUACAGAUCACCAUUCCCCGACUGCAUUUUAGCUGCGAUAAAGGCUGGGAGCACAUGGCCAGCCGCUUUAUGUGGGCAUUGGAUAACAAUAAUCCCCCGAUAACGGAUGAUGUGUACGCCAAGGUUGCGGCGGUACAUACUCGCUGGGUCGACACGCUCGCCUAUCCGGAGCAGUGGGAGACUGUUCGCAGCUUCCUGUGCAUUCAAACUGGGCCGGCAGUAGAACCCGGGUGUGCUGUAUUUCUGUAAGCCGUGUUCGUACCUGCUGCCGAUACGUUUCCGGCGAUAUGCGUUAUCGAACGCAGCAGCAGGGCAAGUGCGGAUUACAAUAGCCCUACCACCAUUACAGCCGUAACGUCCACCCCAGCCGAAGCAGCAAGCGGUUCAGCGGGUUCGACAUGGACGGCACGCCGAGACAGUGGGACCAGGUGGAUUUACGGGAUGUAAAUGUGAAACAGUUUAGCAGAAUGGUUUUAUUGGGAAUCAGCAAAGCAUUUCUAUGAAGUAUGGUGGUGCAGUGGUACGAAUUGGAUUGUGAAGAUUGGGUUGCUGUUAUAAUACGGUGAACUCAUAUUUCUUAUGCCAUGUCUAUUAGCAUAGAAGCCCGUACGUAAAUGCAUUUUAUUAUCAAUAACGAUACAAAAUAAAAG